rnacentral:antisense_RNA from 1 species
UCCAAACCAGGCUUUCUCAAUUUCACCAUCCUCACCUCCCCACAGCACAGCUGAGGCCCAUCUGAAGAAUGGUUACCAGAGGCUGGGAAGGGUAGUGGGGGAUUGAGAGGAGGUGGGGAUAGUUGAACUCUCAUGAGUUCAAUUGUUUUCAUUUUUAGAGCCCACAAAUAACUAAGAACAUGCAAUGUUUGUCUUUCUGUUCCUGGCUUAUUUCGCUUAACAUAAUGAUCUUCAGCUUCAUCCAUGAAGUCCUGCAACAUUUUUGGUGCCCAAUGUGGGGCUCAAAAAGCGGCCAUCAGACUCCAAACAGUCAUGCAACUGGAGCCUUUGAGGAUGACCCCUUCUGCCGGGGACCCUUAGGUCAGCCUCUAGAGAAGCUUUGACUGCUGUUUCCCCAA